rnacentral:rRNA from 1 species
GGUGUUGAUUGCGAUGAGGGUCCACCCGUUCCCAUCCCGAACACGGAAGUUAAGCUCAUCUGCGCCGAAGAUACUUGUCUGGAGACGGACCGGAAAAAUAGGUAACGCC